CAGAAGCUGAAUGCAGUCACAAAGAGAGCAAAGCACUUUGUAAAGUGAACUCAAUACCCCCGUUGGGGCUCAGAAAACAGUACCCCAAAGUGAAGUCCUCAGAAGCAGCCCCAAAAGAACCCCGCCUUUUUGUGUAACAGUUGGCCAUAAAGAAAUUAAGACCUUCAUUCCAGAGAGUCCUAUUGCAUGCCUGAGAGGGAGGAAGGCUGCACAGAGACGCCAAGAAGCUGGACAGUCCUUGCUGGGUUUCCCCACUCAGUCUUUAAGCAUUCGAUCAUACCCCUUCUGUCCAGUUGUAUUUUACAUGGCUGUCCAUACAUCAUUGAAUGUCAGUGUAAAAAUGGAUUGUUUUCCCUGUAUCUUUGGGUCUUUAUUCUGAAGUCUCUUUUAAAACUAUGAUCAAAUAAAUUUGUAUGCCU
rnacentral:lncRNA from 10 species